rnacentral:misc_RNA from 1 species
UUUCCGUAGGUGAACCUGCGGAAGGAUCAUUCAUAAUAAAGUGUUUUAUGGCCCUUUUUAAAAUUCCAUAUCCACCUUGUGUGCAAUGUUAGAUCUCGUCAAUCUUGGCGAGAUUUUUAUACAUCAACUCAUUCUUUAACAAAUUUGUCUGAAAAAUAUUAUGAAUACUUAAUUCAAAAUACAACUUUCAACAACGGAUCUCUUGGCUCUC